CAUAUCCACAUGGGGCCUGGGUUGACCUCCUCAGGACAGGGUCGGCCUCGGGCAAUGGUUCCUGAUGGCGUCCUCUCUUGCCACUUGGUCCAGAUGGGAGCCUCUUCUGUUCCCCUGCCUCUCUGAGUGUGAGUGCAUGGGGUCCAUGUCACCCUGUCAACCCCUGUCAACACAGCUUCCUCCCGGGUCCCGGUCAUCCGAAUUGUCCACAGGCCCAUGAACUGAAAUUAUUGUGGAGGGUCAGGGCAGAGCUUUGUUCAGAGAUUACACGGAGGUUGAGCAGCCAAGAAGCCAAGUCACGGCCCGGAGGCGUCUUCACCAGGUGUGGUUGUUGACCAGGGACAGGCUGGCCGGGGAAGGUGGGCCCGCCCUCGAGUCUCCCCCUCUCAAGUUUCUGGAUGGAGUCCCUGGGUCCAUCGUGGCCCGAGGCUGUGAGAGGGCUCCUGGGGCGGCCUCGCCCAUGGGGGCCCGCUGGGGGCAGGUCUCAGCUCGGUGGUAACUGACGAUGGUGGAGAGGAUGGGUAUUGACUGCACACACCCGCUGAGCUGGUAUCUGAAUGCCACCCCUCCUUGUCUUAUGCAAAUAAGAUGCCAGGUGGGCAGGAGACCAUCCAAAGAUCCGGAGGUGACCUCCGGAGGGAUCAGAGGGUCGGGAGACCAGUGGGUGCCUAGGGUGGCCUCAGGUGCCUGGAGAAAGUGGGGCGAGGGGCCAGGGAGCGGCCGGGGGCUCCUGCCUGUAGCGGACUCGCUGCCCUGAUGCGGGUGGAUGUGUCCUGGGUGCGGCGAAGGCUGGAGUGAGGUGGGGGUGCAUAAACUGCCCAGCUGAGCCCAUCACAGAGCCGGGUCUGCAGGUGGCCGGCCCUGGUCCAAAUAAGCAGGCUGCUCUCUCCCUGUCGCCCACCGUGAAGUCUGUCCUCACACCUGUCCAUCCAUGUCUCUGCCCAGCAGCAGAGUCCUCUUCUCUCAGCCCUGGCCUGUUUCUAACACACAACACAGCACCUCAAUAACCACAACCACCGCCACCUGUGCUGAGGGCUCGACAUAGUGGGCGGGCGGCACCCCUAGGCCAGGUACAGUGAGUGGGAUCCAUGACCACCAUGUGCAGUUGUGCAGGUUGCUCACUGCACAAGGAUAUCUGGCCAGGGGGCAAGUGGGGGCUGAAAACCAGCUCUCUUUCUGUUUCCCAAGCACACUGCGUUCACCUGGAGACAAGGGGCCUUUUUCCAAUUCAUGUGAAGACUGUCCGCUGGCCAGGCUACAUGGAUGGGGCACAACAUCCACCCACAAGGGGGCCUCUCUGGACCCACAGCGCCGUGGGCUGCUGGGCUGCACGAAGGUGCAGGUCCCCCUUCCCUCCCACUGGGGAGGCUCUCUGCCCUCUGCCUGCACAGGGCACACAGGGCAGGAGGGAAGGGACUAGGACGAGGCCGUGGGCUCCCUUCUCUCCGCAGCAGGGCGGGCCUCUGGACCCUCCUCAGAGCCCUUGCCUCCUCCUCACCUCCCACCGUCACUCCCCCCCCUCCCCACUCUCUGGUUCUGCUCUAAUCCCCUCUCUCUGGAUGGGUCCCGGCUCCCACCCCCCACUGCGGGCCCCACCCGCCCCUGUGGAUGCCCGAGGCCCCUUCCCCCGGAAUGGGAGCAGAGCUGGUGAUGCGUGGAGGCGCGGCCCCUCAUGGGCCUGAGCGGUGGGACGUGACUGCAGUGGGGGCUGGACGGGGCAGCUGCUCUCCGAGCGCCCCCCCGGGGCACGGCCCCGGAUCCCCAUCCUGGAGAGGGGGCGUCAGAUCAUGAUGACUAUAAUUGUAAACCCAGCAACUGUCGCUAUUGAGUGCUGUGCGACCUCACAGACCUUCCCAGCACUUCCACGAGGUCCCCACCACUGUGCCCUCCCGUUUACAGGUGGGUAGACCGAGGCACAGAGGGGCGAGGUGACGUGCCCAAGGCACACAGUUAACAAAAGGCAGAGCGACUUUUAUCUGUGAAAGACAGGAGCUCUUUUUUUUU